UCUAAGGAACUCGGCAAAAUGACUCCGUAACUUCGGAAUAAGGAGUGACUUUUGCAAGGAAACUUGUAAAAGUUGUCACAAAAUCGGGGACAGCGACUGUUUAUUAAAAACACAGGUCUCUGCAAAUUCGUAAGAAGAAGUAUUAAGACUGACGCCUGCCCAGUGCUGUUAAGAUUAAAGGAAAAAGUCUUUUGGCUUUUUCCCUACUCUACGGUAAACGGCGGCUGUAACUCUGACGGUCCUAAGGUAGCGAAAUUCCUUGGCAUUUAAUUGGUGUCCUGCACGAAUGGCGUAACGACUGUCCCACUGUCUCCAACAUAAACUCAGUGAAAUUGAAAUUUCCGUGAAGAUGCGGAAUUCCUGCGGCUAGACGGAAAGACCCCGUGCACCUUUACUAUAUUUAUACAUUGAAAUAAAAACUUUUUUGUGUAGCAUAAGUGGGAAGUUGUAUUUUAAAAUUUUUACGCAAGUAAAUUAUUUAAACUAUCUUUGAAAUACCACUCUUAAAAUUUUUUAUUUACUAAUUCAUUAAGACAUUGUAUAAAGGGUAGUUUGACUGGGGCGGUC
rnacentral:rRNA from 1 species